rnacentral:rRNA from 1 species
GGGUGCUUAACACGAUGGGUCAACCUGGCCAGGAAGUGGGGUGAUAGCUCGCCGAUAAGGCGAAUUUAAUACCGCAUGUGAUUUAGAGAGGACAUCCUUUCGAAAUCCAAGUCGGGGCAACCUGACGCUUCUUGGUGGGGCCCGCGGCCUAUCAGCUAGUUGUGAGGUAACGGCUCACCAAGGCUUUGACGGGUAGCUGGUCUGAGAGGACGACCAGCCGACACUGGGACUGAGCCAGAUCAAAUCCAUACGGGUGGCAGCAGUCGAGAAUUUUUGACAAUGGGGGAAACCCUGAUCGAGCGACGCCGCGUGGAGGAUGAGGUCUUCGGAUUGUAACUCCUGUCAUUGGGGACAGGUGCAUACGUACUGCGUGUGUAUUGACUAGUACCCGAAGAGGAAGAGACGGCUAACUCUGUGCCAGCCGCCGGGG